rnacentral:rRNA from 1 species
UUUUCAAAAAAAGAAAAACACAUGUGUAAGAAAAAAUGCAGUUAAGCACUUUUCAUUCUGUAAUGAUCCUUCCGUAGGUGAACCUGCGGAAGGAUCAUUACAGAAUGAAAAGUGCUUAACUGCAUUUUUUCUUACACAUGUGUUUUUCUUUUUUUGAAAACUUUGCUUUGGUAGGCCUUCUAUAUGGGGCCUGCCAGAGAUUAAACUCAACCAAAUUUUAUUUAAUGUCAACCGAUUAUUUAAUAGUCAAAACUUUCAACAACGGAUCUCUUGGUUCUCGCAUCGAUGAAGAACGCAGCGAAAUGCGAUAAGUAAUAUGAAUUGCAGAUAUUCGUGAAUCAUCGAAUCUUUGAACGCACAUUGCGCCCUUUGGUAUUCCAAAGGGCAUGCCUGUUUGAGCGUCAUUUCUCCCUCAAACCCUCGGGUUUGGUGUUGAGCGAUACGCUGGGUUUGCUUGAAAGAAAGGCGGAGUAUAAACUAAUGGAUAGGUUUUUUCCACUCAUUGGUACAAACUCCAAAACUUCUUCCAAAUUCGACCUCAAAUCAGGAGGACUACCCGCUGAACUUAAGCAUAUCAUUAAAGC